rnacentral:rRNA from 1 species
UACGUAGGGGGCAAGCGUUGUCCGGAUUUAUUGGGCGUAAAGAGCGUGUAGGCGGCCUGAAAGGUCAGCUGUGAAAACUCGAGGCUCAACCUCGAGACGUCGGUUGAAACCAUCUGGCUAGAGUCCGGAAGAGGAGUGUGGAAUUCCUGGUGUAGCGGUGAAAUGCGCAGAUAUCAGGAGGAACACCGGUGGCGAAGGCGGAUCUCUGGGCCAUUACUGACGCUGAGGAGCGAAAGCGUGGGGAGCGAACAGG